GGUUAAGCGACUAAGCGUACACGGUGGAUGCCCUGGCAGUCAGAGGCGAUGAAGGACGUGCUAAUCUGCGAUAAGCGUCGGUAAGGUGAUAUGAACCGUUAUAACCGGCGAUUUCCGAAUGGGGAAACCCAGUGUGUUUCGACACACUAUCAUUAACUGAAUCCAUAGGUUAAUGAGGCGAACCGGGGGAACUGAAACAUCUAAGUACCCCGAGGAAAAGAAAUCAACCGAGAUUCCCCCAGUAGCGGCGAGCGAACGGGGAGGAGCCCAGAGCCUGAAUCAGUGUGUGUGUUAGUGGAAGCGUCUGGAAAGGCGCGCGAUACAGGGUGACAGCCCCGUACACAAAAAUGCACAUACUGUGAGCUCGAUGAGUAGGGCGGGACACGUGGUAUCCUGUCUGAAUAUGGGGGGACCAUCCUCCAAGGCUAAAUACUCCUGACUGACCGAUAGUGAACCAGUACCGUGAGGGAAAGGCGAAAAGAACCCCGGCGAGGGGAGUGAAAAAGAACCUGAAACCGUGUACGUACAAGCAGUGGGAGCCUCUUUAUGGGGUGACUGCGUACCUUUUGUAUAAUGGGUCAGCGACUUAUAUUCUGUAGCAAGGUUAACCGAAUAGGGGAGCCGAAGGGAAACCGAGUCUUAACUGGGCGUUAAGUUGCAGGGUAUAGACCCGAAACCCGGUGAUCUAGCCAUGGGCAGGUUGAAGGUUGGGUAACACUAACUGGAGGACCGAACCGACUAAUGUUGAAAAAUUAGCGGAUGACUUGUGGCUGGGGGUGAAAGGCCAAUCAAACCGGGAGAUAGCUGGUUCUCCCCGAAAGCUAUUUAGGUAGCGCCUCGUGAAUUCAUCUCCGGGGGUAGAGCACUGUUUCGGCAAGGGGGUCAUCCCGACUUACCAACCCGAUGCAAACUGCGAAUACCGGAGAAUGUUAUCACGGGAGACACACGGCGGGUGCUAACGUCCGUCGUGAAGAGGGAAACAACCCAGACCGCCAGCUAAGGUCCCAAAGUCAUGGUUAAGUGGGAAACGAUGUGGGAAGGCCCAGACAGCCAGGAUGUUGGCUUAGAAGCAGCCAUCAUUUAAAGAAAGCGUAAUAGCUCACUGGUCGAGUCGGCCUGCGCGGAAGAUGUAACGGGGCUAAACCAUGCACCGAAGCUGCGGCAGCGACGCUUAUGCGUUGUUGGGUAGGGGAGCGUUCUGUAAGCCUGCGAAGGUGUGCUGUGAGGCAUGCUGGAGGUAUCAGAAGUGCGAAUGCUGACAUAAGUAACGAUAAAGCGGGUGAAAAGCCCGCUCGCCGGAAGACCAAGGGUUCCUGUCCAACGUUAAUCGGGGCAGGGUGAGUCGACCCCUAAGGCGAGGCCGAAAGGCGUAGUCGAUGGGAAACAGGUUAAUAUUCCUGUACUUGGUGUUACUGCGAAGGGGGGACGGAGAAGGCUAUGUUGGCCGGGCGACGGUUGUCCCGGUUUAAGCGUGUAGGCUGGUUUUCCAGGCAAAUCCGGAAAAUCAAGGCUGAGGCGUGAUGACGAGGCACUACGGUGCUGAAGCAACAAAUGCCCUGCUUCCAGGAAAAGCCUCUAAGCAUCAGGUAACAUCAAAUCGUACCCCAAACCGACACAGGUGGUCAGGUAGAGAAUACCAAGGCGCUUGAGAGAACUCGGGUGAAGGAACUAGGCAAAAUGGUGCCGUAACUUCGGGAGAAGGCACGCUGAUAUGUAGGUGAAGCGACUUGCUCGUGGAGCUGAAAUCAGUCGAAGAUACCAGCUGGCUGCAACUGUUUAUUAAAAACACAGCACUGUGCAAACACGAAAGUGGACGUAUACGGUGUGACGCCUGCCCGGUGCCGGAAGGUUAAUUGAUGGGGUUAGCGGUAACGCGAAGCUCUUGAUCGAAGCCCCGGUAAACGGCGGCCGUAACUAUAACGGUCCUAAGGUAGCGAAAUUCCUUGUCGGGUAAGUUCCGACCUGCACGAAUGGCGUAAUGAUGGCCAGGCUGUCUCCACCCGAGACUCAGUGAAAUUGAACUCGCUGUGAAGAUGCAGUGUACCCGCGGCAAGACGGAAAGACCCCGUGAACCUUUACUAUAGCUUGACACUGAACAUUGAGCCUUGAUGUGUAGGAUAGGUGGGAGGCUUUGAAGUGUGGACGCCAGUCUGCAUGGAGCCGACCUUGAAAUACCACCCUUUAAUGUUUGAUGUUCUAACGUUGGCCCCUGAUCGGGGUUGCGGACAGUGUCUGGUGGGUAGUUUGACUGGGGCGGUCUCCUCCUAAAGAGUAACGGAGGAGCACGAAGGUUGGCUAAUCCUGGUCGGACAUCAGGAGGUUAGUGCAAUGGCAUAAGCCAGCUUGACUGCGAGCGUGACGGCGCGAGCAGGUGCGAAAGCAGGUCAUAGUGAUCCGGUGGUUCUGAAUGGAAGGGCCAUCGCUCAACGGAUAAAAGGUACUCCGGGGAUAACAGGCUGAUACCGCCCAAGAGUUCAUAUCGACGGCGGUGUUUGGCACCUCGAUGUCGGCUCAUCACAUCCUGGGGCUGAAGUAGGUCCCAAGGGUAUGGCUGUUCGCCAUUUAAAGUGGUACGCGAGCUGGGUUUAGAACGUCGUGAGACAGUUCGGUCCCUAUCUGCCGUGGGCGCUGGAGAACUGAGGGGGGCUGCUCCUAGUACGAGAGGACCGGAGUGGACGCAUCACUGGUGUUCGGGUUGUCAUGCCAAUGGCACUGCCCGGUAGCUAAAUGCGGAAGAGAUAAGUGCUGAAAGCAUCUAAGCACGAAACUUGCCCCGAGAUGAGUUCUCCCUGAGACUUUAAGUCUCCUGAAGGAACGUUGAAGACGACGACGUUGAUAGGCCGGGUGUGUAAGCGCAGCGAUGCGUUGAGCUAACCGGUACUAAUGAACCGUGAGGCUUAACCUU
rnacentral:rRNA from 2 species